CGGCGUGGAUUAGGCAUGCAAGUCGUGCGAGAAGCCUCCUUCCGGGGGGUGGACAGCGGCGAAAGGGAGAGUAACGCGUGGAUUACCUACCCCCGAGUCCCGGGAUAGCUGCGGGAAACUGCAGGUAAUACCGGAUAACAUACCCCGGAUCAAAGGUGUGAUUCCGCUUGGGGACGGGUCCGCGUCCUAUUAGCUUGUUGGUGGGGUAACGGCCUACCAAGGCAACGAUGGGUACCGGGCGUGAGAGCGUGGCCCGGCUCACUGGGACUGAGACACUGCCCAGACACCUACGGGUGGCUGCAGUCGAGAAUCUUCGGCAAUGGGCGAAAGCCUGACCGAGCGACGCCGCGUGCGGGAUGAAGGCCUUCGGGUUGUAAACCGCUGUCAGAGGGGAUGAAAUGCUAUGGGGUUCUCUCCAUAGUUUGACAUAUCCUCAGAGGAAGGACGGGCUAAGUUCGUG
rnacentral:rRNA from 1 species